rnacentral:rRNA from 1 species
GACGAACGCUGGCGGCGUGCUUAACACAUGCAAGUCGAGCGGAGCGGCGAACGGGUGAGUAACGCGUGAGUAACUGCCCCCCUCUCUGGGAUAACAGUUGGAAACGGCUGCUAAUACCUGAUAGUGGGGGAUGACUUGCGUCAGAUCAGCUUGUUGGUGGGGUAGUGGCCGACCAAGGCGACGACGGGUAGCAGGCCUGCAGGGGCGACCGGCCAAAUUGGGGUGAGAUACGGACCAAACUCCUAGGGGAGGCAGCAGGGGGGAAUAUUGCACAAUGGGGGAAACCCUGAUGAAGAAACGCCGAGGGCGGGAUGACGGCCUGCGGGUUGUAAACCGCUUGCAGCCAUGACGCGGUAGUGGCAGAAGAAGCACCGGCUAACUACGUGCCAGCAGCCGCGGUAAUAC